CAGAGGAUACGCACUUUGAGCUCCUUGCUAACGACACGGAGGAUGAUCCAUUUAUUUUCAGACUACACACAGAAGACAUGCGAUACCCUUUUGGGAACAUAAUUUUGAGUAGUGAUGGAAUUUUGACAGUUUCACUGUGCCAGAACUGCUACGGCGUAGCAACAAUUAACUUUUCUCUAUCACACGCACCGACAUAGAAAGACAUUUUACCUGCACAGGCAAAUUAUUCAUUAGACAUCAAGGUUUUCCCAAUGAAUGAUCGUCCAACUAUCCGCGUCCUCUCUCCAAACGGAACAAAUAUAUUACCAAAGGAUCCUACUGAACCUGUAUUGAUUUUUAAAGAACAAGCUAAUCAAAUGUUAUCGGAAGCAGUUGCAGUAGUGAUAGCUUAUGAUAUCGAUGGACCACAAACCUUACAAAUGAUAUCAAAUACCAGCACUACAUCUAAUUCCUUCUACCUGCAAGAUGUUUAUCACGAAGACAUAAUAAAGCUAGUGUCUUGUAAACAU